UACAGAGACCUCUCACAUACAUCACUCACACACAAUGUAUAUAUAUAUUCACAUACACACACAAUUCACAUAGAUUUCUAUUCACACACAUAGGCACAUUGUUGGAAAAAGGAGAUAUUCACUGAAAACACACACUGCCAUACGCACAAAAAUUUCAUCAACACUCAUCGAAAAAAUACUACACACGCACACCCCACCAGAAAAGGGAUAAAUAUAGUAGAGGUUGAGAUCAGAGAGCACAGAAAAGGAAAAAAAAAAGAGGAACCAAGGUUUUUGGACGAAAACGGGUGUAAAUUCAGUCAAUUUUGGGGGGGGGGGGGUUUGGCAAUUUCUCAUCAGAAAAAAUAAUUGUCGAUCGGAAUCUAAGCUUCUUCCUCGUUUACCGGUCCUCCUAAGCUCGCCGAAGCUCCGGCGAGACGAAAACGACGUCACCAGCUUAAAACUAACUCAAAAACUGUGUCGUUGUUCAUAUCUGGCUUAGAUUUGGACAUCGCUGUUUCAUGGUUAAUCUGUCUUCGUAUUGUCGUUCGAGGAUUUCAAAUCGGGACUCUCAUAAACUCAUUAUUAUCAGCAACCAAUUUUUGAGGUCCAAAUUCUCAACUCCACUCUUUUUAUUAUCUUAAUGUGUUUGAUGAUAUAAUUCGGUGAUGUGUUUGAAUGUGUUUGAGUUUUCAUAAUCAUCGUGGUUUGAUUGGUUGAUUUUAAGUUGAAAUUGGUUAAUCGCGGGGGGUUUGAAUGGAAAAUCGAUAAAGCAUGGAUAUUGAUUAGUUUAAUUCAUUGAAUCGUUGUUUGAUUUGAAAUGGACAUUAAUAUUGUCAAAUUCGAUGGUAUCAUGUUUUAGGCCAUCAAAUGGGUAGGUAAAUACUAAGUUUGGGUAGGCAAAUUAUAGAAAUGGACGAUUGUGGAAUGAUUGAGUUUUUGUGCUUGAGAUUGUUUCAUUUUGUCGAUAGAAAUUGAAAAAUGUAUUCCUUUAGCCGAGGAAUGCCCCGAGGUCAUUUGUACUUAUUCACUGAGGUAUGCUUUGAAGUAGCUUGUACGCGCAGAAUGUUCACGAUCAAGGCCCGAGGCAUCGGGUAAAGCGUAGCUUAGGAUAGUUAGAAUAGUUUAGAUUUUCUUUUCAGCAUUUUUAUUUUGGUAUGUAUUAAAUUGGACUGAACACUAUUUUUCU